rnacentral:rRNA from 1 species
GACGAACGCUGGCGGCGUGCCUAAUACAUGCCAGUCGAGCGGACUUUCAAGAAGCUUGCUUUUUGAAAGUUAGCGGCGGACGGGUGAGUAACACGUGGGCAACCUGCCUGCAAGACGGGGAUAACUCCGGGAAACCGGGGCUAAUACCGGAUAAUAUCUUCCUUCGCAUGAAGGAAGGUUGAAAGGCGGCGCAAGCUGCCGCUUGCAGAUGGGCCCGCGGCGCAUUAGCUAGUUGGUGAGGUAACGGCUCACCAAGGCGACGAUGCGUAGCCGACCUGAGAGGGUGAGCGGCCACACUGGGACUGAGACACGGCCCAGACGCCUACGGGAGGCAGCAGGAGGGAAUCUUCCGCAAGGGGCGAAAGGCUGACGGAGAAACGCCGCGUGAGCGAAGAAGGGCUUCGGAUCGGAAAGCUCGGUUGUCAGGGAAGAACAAGUACCGUUCGAACAGGGCGGUACCUUGACGGUACCUGACCAGAAAGCCACGGCUAACUACGUG